AUUGAACGCUGGCGGCAUGCUUUACACAUGCGAGUCGAACGGCAGCGCGGGCUUCGGCCUGGCGGCGAGUGGCGCACGGGGGAGUAAUGCAUGGGAACGUGCCCCGUAGUGGGGGAGAGCCCGGCGAAAGCAGGAUUAAUACCGCAUACGACGUGAGGGUGAAAGCGGGGGACCGAAAGGCCUCGCGCUAUUGGAGCGGCCGAUGCGGGAUUGGCUAGUUGGUGGGGUAAAGGCUUACCAAGGCGACGAUCCGUAGCUGGUCUGAGAGGACGACCAGCCACACGGGGACUGAGCCACGGCCCAGACUCCUACGGGAGGCAGCAGUGGGGAAUUUUGGACAAUGGGGGCAACCCUGAUCCAGCCAUGCCGCGUGCGGGAAGAAGGCCUUCGGGUUGUAAACCGCUUUUGUUCGGGAAGAACUCCUUUGGGCUAAUACCCCGGGGGGAUGACGGUACCGGAAGAAUAAGCACCGGCUAACUACGUG
rnacentral:rRNA from 1 species